rnacentral:rRNA from 1 species
AUUGAACGCUGGCGGCAGGCUUAACACAUGCAAGUCGAGCGAGCGGCGGACGGGUGAGUAAUGUCUGGGAAACUGCCUGAUGGCGGGGGAUAACUACUGGAAACGGUAGCUAAUACCGCAUACCAUCAGAUGUGCCCAGGUGGGAUUAGCUAGUAGGGGGGGUAAUGGCUCACAUAGGCGACGAUCCCUAGCUGGUCUGAGAGGAUGACCAGCCACAUGGGAACGGAGACAAGGUCCAGACCCCUACGGGAGGCAGAAGUGGGGAUUUUUUGACAAUGGGGGCAAGCCGGAGGAAGCCAGGCCGGGUGGGUGAAGAAGGCUUUCGGGUUGUAAAGCACUUUCAGCGAGGAGGCGUUACUCGCAGAAGAAGCACCGGCUAACUCCGUGCCAGCAGCCGCGGUAAUAC